GACGAACGCUGGCGGCGCGCCUCAUACAUGCAAGUCGAGCGAGAACCAGGGCUUGCCCUGGGGAGAGCGGCGAACGGGUGCGUAUCACGUGAGCAACCUGCCUCGGAGACCGGGAUAACUCGAGGAAACUCGGGCUAAUACCGGAUGCCCUCGGUGGACCGCAUGGUCCGGCGAGGAAAUGGAUUCCGCCCCGAGAUGGGCGCGCGGCCUAUCAGCUGGUUGGUGGGGUAACGGCCUACCAAGGCGACGACGGGUAGCUGGUCUGAGAGGACGAUCAGCCACACUGGGACUGAGACACGGCCCAGACUCCUACGGGAGGCAGCAGUAGGGAAUCUUGCGCAAUGGGCGAAAGCCUGACGCAGCGACGCCGCGUGCGGGAUGAAGGCCUUCGGGUCGUAAACCGCUUUCAGCAGGGACGAAAUUGACGGUACCUGCAGAAGAAGGCCCGGCCAACUACGUGCCAGCCGCCGCCGUAACAC
rnacentral:rRNA from 1 species